UAGCCGUAAACGAUACUCGCUAGGUGUCGGCCACGGUGCGACCGUUGUCGGUGCCGUAGGGAAGCCGUGAAGCGAGCCACCUGGGAAGUACGGCCGCAAGGCUGAAACUUAAAGGAAUUGGCGGGGGAGCACAACAACGGGUGGAGCUUGCGGUUUAAUUGGAUUCAACGCCGGAAAUCUUACCGGGACCGACAGCAACAUGAAGGCCAAGCUGAAGACUUUGCCGGAUUAAGUCUGAGAGGAGGUGCAUGGCGUAGACGUCU
rnacentral:rRNA from 1 species